CGUCAUUUCAGGUGCCCUCAAGUGGAAGGAAGACCUUUCCAGAAAGGCGCUAAGGCUUUUCUGAGGCAGCAACAAGCAGCUCCAAACCUCCGAAAGCUUGUUUAUGGGACAGUGACAGAAGAUAAUGAAGAAGAUUAUGAUACCUGAGAAGAGCUUGGAGGGUUGUUUCAUGUCAGCCAGCCUGACAGAGCGUGUAAGCACAAGGCUGACUCUUUGGACUGCUUCAGAUUGCUUGUGGAGUUGCCCCGUGACUGGGAUUUAGAGGAGGUGGAGAAAAGGAAGUCCCUCACAGUAACCGUCACCAUAAUCAAGACAGAAUGUUUCCAGAAGAAAUGGAGUUAUCUGCUUUCAGCCCCAGGUGGUAGCUGUUCUGUCCUGAUGAUAUGUGAUAAUAAUUUGUGAUCCUCAUGUCUUAAAAUGGAGUCACUCAUCUCCAGUAGAAUUAAGUCUACAGUGAAGUUGUCCCCUCAUCCCCAAAGAGAUAAACACAGAUGAAUGGGCUGAGUUGAUAUUUAUUGCUGCCUGAGAUCAUGAGAGACCUGAAGUGAACUGAUAGGAAGUGAAAAGUGGCUGAGAACAAGAGAAUGGACCCAUCUGCAGAGGAUCAUAAAACCAGCAGAGACAAGAUCUUGUCUAAGAUGUUUUCAGAAGCUUUGUCCAUGAGAACUGCAAGGACUUCUCCAGACCUGGUGGCUGCUGCUAUGAUCUCUGCCCCAAAGGAACAUCUGACCAGCAUCCAAAGGGCUUCUGGACCCACUGGAUUCUUCUGGAGGAGGCAAAGGAGGACCAAUGACUGGAAUAGCCAAGAACUCCAGGAUUCAUGAUGAACUAAUUGCUAGAGCAAAAAUAUCCAAGAUCUUCCUGACUUAUGAUGGGGAAGGGGUAACAGAAGUUGGAUGAGACAAUACCCAAACAUGAUUGCCAGGUUUACCUAAACUGAACAAUAGAAGAUUGUAGAUGAUGCCAUUAAGAUUACUCAAGAAUAUGGAAGAUUAUUAUUCACUUCUGAUGGGACCUUGUAAGUCACCUGAAAAAAAUUCACAUGAAAAACAAGUUUUACAAACUGUCACGUUAUGCUACAAUAUUUACAUAAUAUACGGUACAACCCUGAUCUCUUGGCUGUCAUAAAAUGUUUCUUACCUCUAAACCAAAGUUUCAUUUUAUAAUUUAAUUUUUUUCAUUUUUCCUGUCCUCUUAGCUUAAGAAAAGAUCAUUGCAGGCCGGGCGCGGUGGCUCACGCCUGUAAUCCCAGAAUUCUGUGAGGCUGAGGCAGGUGGAUCACUCGAGGUCAAGAGUUCGAGACCAGCCCAACCAACAUGAUGAAACCCUGUCUCUACUAAAAAUACCAGAACUAUCUGGGUGUGGUGGCAGAUGCCUGUAAUCCCAGCUACUGGGGAGGUUGAGGCAGGAGAAUCGCUUGAACCCAGGAGGUGGAGGUUCCAGUGAGCCAAGAUAGUGCCAUUGCACUCCAGCAUGGGUGAUAGAGUGAAACUCCAUCUCAAAAAAACAACAACAACAACAACAAAAAAGAAAAGAUCAUUGCAAACUUUUUGUGUGUUUUUCAUAUUUGCUUGCAGAGGUUUGUAACAUUUUAUUGUGAUUAUUCGUGCUUUAAGCUGAAACUUUUCUAAUCUUUAGCAAUUAUGAAAUAGCAUGCUAUUUCCUUUCCAUAUUCAAUUGUAUGUUCUGUAUUUAUUACCCUAGCUAUAGGAUUCUGUCUUUUGAACCUCCCCUGUAGUUAGGUAUGGCCAUGUCACUAAAUUUUAAGCCAAUAAUUUGUAAGCAGUGUGCUAUGAGUACCUUCUAAAAAACUUUCCUUCUUCUUUUCUCC
ensembl:lincRNA